CUGGGUUCAGAACGUCGUGAGACAGUUCGGUCCCUCUCCGUCGUCAGCGGCGGAUUCUUGCGGGGGGCUGCUCCUAGUACGAGAGGACCGGAGUGGACGAACCGCUGGUGUGCCCAGUUGUGUGGCCGCAUGCACCGCUGGGAAGCUAGGUUCGGCAGGGGGAAGCGCUGACCGCAUCUAAGCGCGAAGCCCGCCCCAAGAUGAGGAAUCCUGGAGAGCGUCCGCUCUCCACCGACCCCCGGGCGACCACCGGGUGGAUAGGUGGGCCGUGGACACCCGGUAACGGGUGCAGCGAGCCCAUACUAAUCGGUCGGCGCUCUUUCUCCU
rnacentral:rRNA from 1 species